AGCAAGAUACUCACAAACUUCUCUUAUCCCCUUCUAGUUUUGACACCUUUUGAGGGAUCACCAAUAAUUAGUUCUUGAAGAAGAUUUUUUACAAAUCUCUAGCCUCUAGGAAGGUCGUUGUGCUAUUCUUCAAUUCUUUGUAAGUCUUUUAAUGGUGGUUCUUCAUCAUCUUACUCCUUCGAGCUUUCUUCAUGAUUUUCUUUGUCAUCUAAGCGCAUUUUCUCUAUUUUCUUCUUAAUGUCAUCUACAUUAUCAUCAUCAAACACUACCUUCCUUUGUGCAGCAUUAGUCUCAUAAAAAAUAAUAUGAAUUGACUCUUCUAUAACUAAAGUUCUUUCGUCAACACUUUAUAUGUUUUAGAGUUCAAUGUAUAUCUUAAGAAUAUGGCCUCAUCACUCCUAGCAUCAAAUUUUCCUAAGGUGUGUUUUCUGUUGUUCAAAACAAAGCAUUUGCAUCCAAAACUACUUAACUAAGAAAUAUUUGGUUUUCUUCCUUUGUAAAGCUCAUAAGGGGUUUUAAAAAUCUUGGCUCUAAUGGAAACUCUAUGUAAAAUGUAUGCUACAGUGUUUACAACUUUAACCCAAAAAUAUUUUGGCAAGUUGUUUUCACAAAACAUUGUCGUUGCCAUUUCUUUUAAGGUCCUAUUUUUUCUUUCAACAACUCCAUUUUCUUGUGGAGUUCUAGGAGUAGAAAAAUUGUGGUCAAAACCAUCUUCAUUGCACAAGAUUUCAAAGUUGUCACUUUCAAAUUCUCCUCCACGGUCACUUCUAACACUAACAAUGGUAACGCCUUUUUCAGUUUAAACUCUUUUACAAUGUUUAACAAAAGUUGGCAAUGCCCAUGUAAAUCUAAAGUAAUCAUCUAUAAUAAUGAAGCCAUAUGCCUUGCCUUCUAGACUAGCAAUAGUGAUUGGUCCAAACAAGUCAAUAUGCAAUAGUUCAAGUGGCCUAGAAGUUGUUAUGACUUUCUUAGAUUUAAAUUAACUACUAACUUAUUUCCCAAAUUGACAUGCACAUAAACUUUGUCAUUUUUGAAUGAUAUCUUUGGAAAUCCAAUGACUAGGCCUUUUCUUAAGAGUUUUGAUUUGGUGUGCAUCCUGGAAUGUCCGAGUCUUUUAUGCCAUAACCAACUAUCACAUACAUCAUUAGCAGUAAGGCAUGAUUCACUAGGCUCAAUUUCAUCAAGAAAGAUGACAUACAUAUUCUUAAUUCUUUUGCCAAUGAAUGCAACUUUUUUAUUAUCAAAAUUAAUCGGUUGAUAUACAUAGGAAUCAAAGCAUACUCUAAAACCUCUAUCACAAAGUUGACUAAUGCUUAGCAGAUUAUGCUUUAGACCUUUUACAAAUAAAAUAUGCUUGAUUUGAGUUUGAGAGAUGUUACUAAUGGUUCCAAUUUCGUGGAUAAUACUUUUGCAGUCAUCACCAAAGGAAACACUACCACCUUUCCUCUUAUCAAGCUUUGAGAAUAACUUCUCAUUUUCAGUCAUGUGUCUUGAGCAACCAUUGUGCAAGAACCAAGGAUGCCUCUCUUUUGGUUGAGCUUCAAAACAUUGACCCAUUUGUCCUUGCCCAACCAACAAAAUAAAUUUUCAGUUUUUCUUUAAAGGUACCUAUACUUUGAUGGGUCCUUGGGGGUUAGCAAUCACAUGAGAUCCUUUAAGAACCCAAACCAAACUUAGUUUUAGUAAGAUUUCUAUUAUUAUGAUAACAAUCAUAGGCCAUAUGACCUUUCUUACCACAUAGACAACAAUGAAAUUAGAAUGCAUUCAUUUUUUUUCCAAGGUUUGUGUUUCUUAUAGGCUUUUCUUCAAUUUUUUAUUUUAGUUUUGAUCUUUCUUCUAUUUCAACUUUAAGUGCAACAUUUUCAUCAACAGCUCUUUGUAAUUCCAAAUUUUUGCUUUCCAGUUCUAACUUCAGGAAUUAAAAAUCAAAUUUGGAUUGUUCAAGUUUAAUUUGAAACAUAUUCCUUUGAUCAAAAAUAGAGUUAUACUCAUAUUUAAUUUUUUCUAGUUCUUUAGUCAAUGCAAUAGCCUUUUUUCUCAUUGUCUUAUAUUUCAAAGCAACUUUCUAAAAUUCAACAUAUAGACAAUCAUAUUCAUCUUGCAAGUCAUCAUAAGAAAUAUCACAUGAAUUAGAAGUUACCUCAAAUUCUUCUUCUCUUGCCAUCAAGCAAAAAUAUGCUCUUUUUUUCAAUUUUUCUUUUACUUCUUCUGAGCUUGAGGAGUCAUUAUGGGACCAUGUUGUGAGACCUUGACCUCUAUAGCCUCGUAACUAGGUGUAGACACGAUAACACGAACUAUGGGUAAUUUCAUCAUUUCUUUAAUGAGCCCUUAGAAGUAGGCUUUUAAACAAUAUUAAGGCCUAAGGCAUAAAUGAAUGAUGAAAAUAAGGGUAAAAGGACGAAGGAAAUAAAAUAAUGAUGAUUUCCAAAGUAGGGGCAAAAUGGUCAUUUUUCAUCUCGGGGUAAAAAAUUUUAAGUUUUCAUAAACUUGAGUAUUUUUAGACCAUUGUGGACCUGACCUUAGUGUCAAAAGAGUAAAAAGAUUGCACAAAGGAUUAGAGGAGAACAAGUUAACUUGUUAAGGGCAUUUUCAUAAUUUAAGUGGAAAUUUGGAUAAGCUCUAGCUAUAAAUAUCCUUUUCUUCCAGCAGCUUCUUCUUCUUCUUCUUCUUUCCAUUUCACGUUUCUUCAUCCUCCAUGGGAGUUCUCUUCAAGCUUCCAUAAUCUCUCAAGUUAGUCUCAAAUUUCAUGUUUUUGUGCACCUUUUCACAAGCCCUUUGUGCUCUUUUACUCUGUCACCUUAAAAAACCACCAAGGUCUUAAACUAAUACUUUCUCUCACUAGCUAGGUGUUUUAGAGAGAGAAAAAAAGACUUUCUAUAAUAGUUUAGGAAUUCUUGAAGAGGAAUCCAAUUACAAAUCUAGCAAAGUGAGUGUUGAAAUUGAGUUGAUAUUUUAGUUGUUGAUAAUGUCUAGAAAUUUGAUAUGAGAGUGUUUUAUUAUUGAGAUUGUUUAAUCAUUUUUAGUGUGACUAGAGUAAUGCAAAUAAUAGCCAUUUAAUGGUAGUUGGAAGCUAGUAGGAAUGACUAGUAGAACUCAUUUUAGAAAAUAGCUUUGGAAUAGUAUUAAUGCCAAGUUGGGUUGAUGGUGAUGAUGCUAAUGUGAUGAUAGGUUCCAACGAAGCCCCACCACCCCAUUUGGACCAUUAGAGGAAGUUGAAGUUAAGUAAAGAUUUAACGAAUACCGG
rnacentral:lncRNA from 1 species